UACGUAGGUGGCAAGCGUUGUCCGGAUUUACUGGGCGUAAAGAGCGCGCAGGCGGUCGUUCAAGUCGCGUGUGAAAGCCCCCGGCUCAACUGGGGAGGGUCACGCGAUACUGAUCGACUGGAAGGCAGGAGAGGGUAGUGGAAUUCCCGGUGUAGUGGUGAAAUGCGUAGACAUCGGGAGGAACACCAGUGGCGAAGGCGACUACCUGGCCUGUUCUUGACGCUGAGGCGCGAAAGCUAGGGGAGCAAACGGG
rnacentral:rRNA from 1 species